GACGAACGCUGGCGGCGUGCCUAAUACAUGCAAGUCGAACGCAGUGGGGACGGGUGAGUAACACGUGGGUAACCUCCCAUCAGAGGGGAUAACACUUGGAAACAGGUGCUAAACCGAUACUGAUGGAUGGACCCGCGGGGCAUUAGCUAGUUGGUGAGGUAACGGCCCACCAAGGCCACGAUGCAUAGCCGGGCUGGGAGGGUGAUCUGCCACACGGGGACUGGGACACGGACCAGACUCCUACGGGAGGCAGCAGUGGGGAAUCUUCGGCAAUGGACGAAAGUCUGACCGAGCAACGCCGCGUGAGUGAAGAAGGUUUUCGGAUCGUAAAACACUGUUGGUAGACAAGAGGGAACUAAAGAGAAAGCCACGGCUAACUACGUGCCAGCAGCCGCGGUAAUAG
rnacentral:rRNA from 1 species